UGUUAUUGAAUAUAAAGAAAAGACGAACAGCUCAGUAACUCUUAUUUUAUUUGAUGUAUUAGGAUUAUAACUAUGUUAAAUUAUAGAUAACAAUAAUACAAUAAGAAUAAGAUCUAUCAGUUAGUUGUUAAGGUAAUGGCUUAACAAGACUAUGACGGAUAACGGUAUUACUUUGUAAUAUUCCGGAGAAGGAGCCUGAGAGAUUGCUACUAAGUCUAAGGAUUGCAGCAGGGGCGAAACUUGACCUAUGAUAUGAUAUUGAGGCAGUUAUGAGUAGUAUUUUUAAUUAUUGUAGUAUUGUAAGUAUAUACUACAAGAUAAAUCGGAGGGCAAAUCGAGUGCCAGCAGCCGCGGUAAUACUUGUUCCGAUAGUGUGUAUGAUGAUUGAUGCAGUUAAAAAGUCUGUAGUUUAUGAUUAAUAAGCAUUGUGAGGUAUAUUGUAUGGUUAGGAGAGAGAUGAAAUGUGAUAACCCUAACUGGAUGAACAGAAGCGAAAGCUAUAUACUUAAAUGUAUUAUUAGAACAAGGACGUAAGCUAGAGGAUCGAAGAUGAUUAGAUACCAUUGUAGUUCUAGCAGUAAACUAUGUUAAAUCAUAGAUACAUUUUAAUAUGUAUUUAUGUAAAGAAAUUAAGAUUAUAUUGACUCUGGGGAUAGUAUGAUCGCAAGAUUGAAAAUUAAAGAAAUUGACGGAAGAAUACCACAAGGAGUGGAUUGUGCGGCUUAAU
rnacentral:rRNA from 1 species